rnacentral:rRNA from 1 species
UACAGAGGGUGCGAGCGUUGUUCGGAAUUAUUGGGCGUAAAGGGCGCGUAGGCGGUGCGGUAAGUCACCUGUGAAAUCUCCUGGCUCAACUGGGAGCUUGCAGGCGAAACUGCCGUGCUGGAGUGUGGGAGAGGUGCGUGGAAUUCCCGGUGUAGCGGUGAAAUGCGUAGGUAUCGGGAGGAACACCUGUGGCGAAAGCGGCGCACUGGACCACAACUGACGCUGAGGCGCGAAAGCUAGGGGAGCAAACAGG